rnacentral:rRNA from 1 species
AGAGCGCAGGGAGGAUGCCUUGGCAUCAGGAGCCGAAGAAGGACGUGGUAAGCUGCGAAAAGCUACGGGGAUUGGCAAGCACGAUAUGAUCCGUAGAUGUCCGAAUGGAGCAAUCCACAUGGAGUCAAGUCCAUGUAUCAUAUACUGAAUAAAUAGGUAUAUGAGGGGAACCGCCCGAACUGAAACAUCUAAGUAGGGCGAGGAAAAGAAAUCAACCGAGAUUCUGUGAGUAGUGGCGAGCGAAAGCGGAAGAGGCUAAACCGAGAGGAGCAAUCCUUUCGGGGUUUAGGACUGCAUUUAGUACAAUGAUUGUUAACCGAACAGCAUGGGAAGGCUGAUCAAAGAAGGUGAGAAUCCUGUAGGUGAAAACGAAAGUUGACGAGCAGUAUCCAAAGUACCGCGGGGCACGUGAAAUCCCGUGGGAAGAUGGGGGGACCAUCCUCCAAGCCUAAAUACUACCUGAUGACCGAUAGCGAAAAGUACUGUGAAGGAAAGGUGAAAAGCACCCCGGGAGGGGAGUGAAAGAGAACCUGAAACCCUGUGCUUACAAGCACUUAGAGCACGUCAAAGUGUGAUAAGGUACCUAUUGUAGAAUGGUCCGGCGAGUUAUUGUAUGCAGCGAGGUUAAGUAGUUCAGCUACGGAGCCGAAGUGAGAGCGAGUGUUAACAGCACGUUCAGUUGCAUGCAAUAGACCCGAAACCGGGUGACCUAUCCAUGUCCAGGAUGAAGUGAGGGUAAAACCUCAUGGAGGUCCGAACCCACUCCCGUUGAAAUGGUAGGGGAUGAGGUGUGGAUAGCGGAGAAAUUCCAAUCGAACCCGGAUAUAGCUGGUUCUCCCCGAAAUAGUUUUAGGACUAGCCUCGUGAUCAAGAUUAUCGGAGGUAAAGCACUGAAUGGCCUAGGGGUCGAGAGAUUACCGAAGCCUAUCAAACUCUGAAUGCCGAAUAAUCAUGCACGGGAGUCAGACUGUGUGAGAUAAGUUUCAUAGUCGAAAGGGAAACAGCCCAGACCUACAGCUAAGGUCCCAAAGUACGUUUAAGUGGAAAACGAUGUGAAAUUGCGUAGACAACCAGGAUGUUGGCUUAGAAGCAGCCAUACAUUAAAAGAGUGCGUAAUAGCUCACUGGUCGAGUGACUUUGCGCGGAAAAUUUAACGGGGCUAAAACGUACACCGAAGCUUAGGCUUGCAACUAUGUUGCAGGGGUAGGGGAGCGUUGAAUGAGGGGUGAAGUCGUAGCGAAAGCGACGGUGGACUUCAUUCAAGUGAGAAUGCCGGAAUGAGUAGCGAGAAUUAUGUGAGAAUCAUAAUGGCCGAAAGCCUAAGGUUUUUGGAGGAAGGUUCGUCCGCUCCAAGUAAGUCGGAAGCUAAGGUGAGGCUGAAAAGCGUAGCCGAUGCACAAACGGUUGAAAUUCCGUUACCACAGAAAGAUUUAAACUAAGGGACACUUUUGAAGAGCUGAUGCCGGGUGUUGGUUACCCCGGUCGUAAGGGAACGAAAUCAAGUAGUGAAGUCAGCGUGGAUGAAGGCGAGAAAAGCUUAGUGUAUAUCUUAUGUGUCCGUACCGCAAACCGACACAGGUAGGUAGGAAGAGAAUUCUAAGGCCAACGGGAGAAGGGUAGUUAAGGAACUCGGCAAAAUGUCCCCGUAACUUCGGAAUAAGGGGAGGUUUCUACGGAAACCCGCAGAGAAUAGUCCCAGGCAACUGUUUAUCAAAAACACAGCUCUAUGCUAAAUCGAAAGAUGACGUAUAUGGGGUGACGCCUGCCCGGUGCCGGAAGGUUAAGAGGAGGAGUGAGAGCCCCGAAUCGAAGCCCCAGUAAACGGCGGCCGUAACUAUAACGGUCCUAAGGUAGCGAAAUUCCUUGUCAGGUAAGUUCUGACCCGCACGAAUGGCGUAAUGAUCUGGGAGCUGUCUCAACUGCCCGCCCGGCGAAAUUGUAGUACCGGUGAAGAUGCCGGUUACCCGCGACUAGACGGAAAGACCCCAUGGAGCUUUACUGUAGCUUAAUAUUGGAUUUCGGCAUUUCAUGUACAGGAUAGGUGGGAGACUAGGAAACAUAGGCGUCAGCUUAUGCGGAGUCGUCCUUGGGAUACCACUCUUGGAGUGCUGAAAUUCUAACCUGCAGCCCUGAAUCGGGUUGGGGGACAUUGUUAGGUGGGCAGUUUGACUGGGGCGGUCGC